AAGCCAAGAGGAAAAAAAAAAAGAGGGAAGGAAGAGGGAGGCCGGAAAGAGGAAGGCAAAUGAGACAAAAAGGAGGAAGGAGAAGAAAAGAGAGGAGGGGCAGAGUGGGACAAAGAAGGGGAGCCAAAGAGCUGCUGCCGCGAGGGAGGAAGAAAAUAAGAGAGGGGUGGAGGCGGGAGAGUGUGGAAGCCGAACCGAAAGGAAGAAGGAGGAAAAGGGAACGACCGAGACGCCGUGUGACGGCGGAGACCAAGGCAAGCGAGGUAAAGGUUCGUCCUUUUC
rnacentral:lncRNA from 1 species